rnacentral:rRNA from 1 species
ACUCAAAUGAAUUGACGGGGGCCCGCACAAGCGGUGGAGCAUGUGGUUUAAUUCGAUGCAACGCGAAGAACCUUACCUACCCUUGACAUACUGAGAAUUCUGCAGAGAUGUGGAAGUGCCGAGAGGAGCUCAGAUACAGGUGCUGCAUGGCUGUCGUCAGCUCGUGUCGUGAGAUGUUGGGUUAAGUCCCGUAACGAGCGCAACCCCUAUUGUUAAUUGCCAUCAGGUAAAGCUGGGCACUUUAAUGAGACUGCUGGUGACAAACCAGAGGAAGGCGGGGACGACGUCAAGUCAUCAUGGCCCUUACGGGUAGGGCUACACACGUGCUACAAUGGGCGAUACAGAGGGUUGCGAAGCCGCGAGGCGGAGCCAAUCUCAAAAAGUCGCUCGUAGUCCGGAUUGCAGUCUGAAACUCGACUGCAUGAAGCUGGAAUCGCUAGUAAUCGCAAAUCAGAAUGUUGCGGUGAAUACGUUCCCGGGCCUUGUACACACCGCCCGU